UACGUAGGGUGCAAGCGUUAAUCGGAAUUACUGGGCGUAAAGCGUGCGAAGGCGGUUGUGCAAGACAGAUGUGAAAUCCCCGGGCUUAACCUGGGAAUUGCAUUUGUGACUGCACGGCUAGAGUGUGUCAGAGGGGGGUAGAAUUCCACGUGUAGCAGUGAAAUGCGUAGAUAUGUGGAGGAAUACCGAUGGCUAAGGCAGCCCCCUGGGAUAACACUGACGCUCAUGCACGAAAGCGUGGGGAGCAAACAGG
rnacentral:rRNA from 1 species